rnacentral:rRNA from 1 species
AUACGGAUGGUGCAAGCGUUAAUCGGAAUCACUGGGCGUAAAGCGUGCGUAGGCUGCCUGUUAAGUCAGGUGUGAAAGCCCUCGGCUCAACCGGGGAAUUGCACUUGAUACUGACAGGCUUGAGUCCUGGAGAGGAUGGCGGAAUUCCUGGUGUAGGAGUGGAAUCCGUAGAUAUCAGGAGGAACACCGGUGGCGAAGGCGGCCAUCUGGACAGGUACUGACGCUGAGGUACGAAAGCGUGGGGAGCAAACAGGAUUAGAUACCCUGGUAGUCCACGCUGUAAACGAUGGAUGCUAGGUGUCGGGGGGAUUCACCUUCGGUGCCGCAGCUAACGCAUUAAGCAUCCCGCCUGGGGAGUACGGUCGCAAGGCUGAA